rnacentral:rRNA from 1 species
AGUGAACGCUGGCGGUAGGCCUAACACAUGCAAGUCGAACGGCAGCACAGUAAGAGCUUGCUCUUACGGGUGGCGAGUGGCGGACGGGUGAGGAAUACAUCGGAAUCUACUUUUUCGUGGGGGAUAACGUAGGGAAACUUACGCUAAUACCGCAUACGACCUACGGGUGAAAUCAGGGGAUCUUCGGACCUUGCGCGAUUGAAUGAGCCGAUGUCGGAUUAGCUAGUUGGCGGGGUAAAGGCCCACCAAGGCGACGAUCCGUAGCUGGUCUGAGAGGAUGAUCAGCCACAUUGGAACUGAGACACGGUCCAGACUCCUACGGGAGGCAGCAGUGGGGAAUAUUGGACAAUGGGCGAAAGCCUGAUCCAGCCAUACCGCGUGGGUGAAGAAGGCCUUCGGGUUGUAAAGCCCUUUUGUUGGGAAAGAAAAGCAGCAGGUUAAUACCCCGCUGUUCUGACGGUACCCAAAGAAUAAGCACCGGCUAACUUCGUG